rnacentral:rRNA from 1 species
UUAAGCAUAUCAAUAAGCGGAGGAAAAGAAACCAACAGGGAUUGCCCUAGUAACGGCGAGUGAAGCGGCAACAGCUCAAAUUUGAAAUCUGGCUUCGGCCCGAGUUGUAAUUUGCAGAGGAUGUUUCUGGCGCGGUGCCUUCCGAGUUCUCUGGAACGGGACGCCACAGAGGGUGAGAGCCCCGUAUGGUUGGACACCAAGCCUGUGUGAAACUCCUUCGACGAGUCGAGUAGUUUGGGAAUGCUGCUCAAAAUGGGAGGUAAAUCUCUUCUAAAGCUAAAUACCGGCCAGAGACCGAUAGCGCACAAGUAGAGUGAUCGAAAGAUGAAAAGCACCUUGAAAAGGGGGUUAAACAGUACGUGAAAUUGUUGAAAGGGAAGCGCUUGUGACCAGACUUGCGCCGGGCGGCUCAUCCGGGGUUCUCCCCGGUGCACUCCGCCCGGCUCAGGCCAGCAUCGGUUUUCGUUGGGGGAUAAGAACGGCAGGAACGUGGCCCUCCUUCGGGUGGGUGUUAUAGCCUGCCGUACGAUACCCUGACGGGGACCGAGGUUCGCGCUCCGCAAGGAUGCUGGCGUAAUGGUCAUCAGCGACCCGUCUUGAAACACGGACCAAGGAGUCGUCCAUUAGAGCGAGCGUUUGGGUGUCAAACCCGCACGCGUAAUGAAAGUGAAAUUAGGUGAGAGCUUCGGCGCAUCAUCGACCGAUCCUGAUGUUCUCGGAUGGAUUUGAGUAAGAGUUUUAACGGACGGACCCGAAAGACAGUGAACUAUGCUUGUAUAGGGUGAAGCCAGAGGAAACUCUGGUGGAGGCUCGCAGCGGUUCUGACGUGCAAAUCGAUCGUCAAAUAUGAGCAUGGGGGCGAAAGACUAAUCGAACUGUCUAGUAGCUGGUUACCGCCGAAG